rnacentral:rRNA from 1 species
GGCUGCAACUCGCCUACACGAAGCUGGAAUCGCUAGUAAUCGCGGAUCAGCACGCCGCGGUGAAUACGUUCCCGGGCCUUGUACACACCGCCCGUCACACCAUGAGAGUUGGCAAUACCCAACGUACGUGAUCUAACCCGCAAGGGAGGAAGCGUCCUAAGGUAGGGUCAGCGAUUGGGGUGAAGUCGUAACAAGGUAGC